CCCUAGAUAUAUAUUACUACCAUAACCUUAUCCUUGGUUUUUUAAAAAACACAUAUGCAAAACACGCCCCCACCUCCGUCUCCUUCAUCUUCAACCUAAAGAAAACUUCAUCCUCUCAAAUUCCCUCCUUCAUUAUAAUUUUUAACACAGACAAACACACAUCAACCAGGGAUCAUCUUCCAUAACAGAACACACAUACUCACUUGCAACCCACCCCCUGCUCUCCCGUGAUGCUCUUGGCCGAUGACGACCGGAGCGAUUAACCGGCGGUGACUGGUGACUCUCCGCCGCCACCUCCUUCUCCGACCACGCACGACACACCCUCACAACCAUUGGCAUACCUCUCACCACCCUGUUUCGUAACCGCCGGAGUCGGAGAACUUCGCCGGAGAAACCAGAAGCACCGAAACCGCAUGACCCGAAGUCGCCGGACAUCGCGUUCCCUUCGUCGGAGAUCGAAGUUACGUCCCACGUAUUCCGGGUAAUCACUCUCGUGAGUUCGGUCUUCCCUAUCUUUUCCUCGCGCGUUAUUUCAAGGAAUCUCCAUACGUAAACACUGU